UACGUAGGGUCCGAGCGUUGUCCGGAAUUAUUGGGCGUAAAGGGCUCGUAGGCGGUUUGUCGCGUCGGGAGUGAAAACACCGGGCUUAACUCGGUGCUUGCUUUCGAUACGGGCAGACUAGAGGCAUGCAGGGGAGAACGGAAUUCCUGGUGUAGCGGUGAAAUGCGCAGAUAUCAGGAGGAACACCGGUGGCGAAGGCGGUUCUCUGGGCAUGUCCUGACGCUGAGGAGCGAAAGUGUGGGGGAGCGAACAGG
rnacentral:rRNA from 1 species